AAGAGACUUAAAGAGUUUUCAAAACUUUUCCUAUUCGCAGCCAGUCUGUUGACUUCCUCCCACCGCUCCAAGCACACCCCUUUUAGCCAUUUUUGUAUUCAUAUUUCGUUUUUUAGAAAACUUGUGCCCAGGGCAAAACUAAAGCCAUGAAAGCAUAAUGACAACCCCGACGACAAGUGCGCGUAAUGGCUGCAAAAGAACAAAGUUGAGGAGUGAAAGAAAUGGCAGCAGCACGACGAAUGCGAAGGACGAAGGACGAAACAGGGCGAAGUAAAACUUGGUAGACAAUUAGCAGCGGGAUGCCAAAGUGCAUUUCGCGCAAUCCAGUUAAGCUAAAUAAUGCAAUUAAAUUAUAAUCCUCUAUUAUAUACAUAUUUAAAUUUUUUUUUAAAAUUUAAAGUACACUGUUGGAAAAC
ensembl:ncRNA lncRNA:CR45301 long non-coding RNA:CR45301